rnacentral:lncRNA from 1 species
CAUUAAUAGAAAAUUUUUUUCUUUCUCUCCUUCAACAGGUAUUUUAUACACUUAAAACUUUCUUGGAGAAGGAAAAAAGGAAGUUCCCUUUCUUAUAUGACAUAAUGCCAUGCUGACAUGGACAAGGCACUUUCAGCUCCAUGAGUCCAAGAUGAGAAGUCUCUCACGACUGUGGCUUGGCAACGAAGGAUAGCCUGAACCCGAUACAGCUGCUGUCUCAGGGCCUGGUAAGUGCAUUUAGCCCAGAGUCCU